UCUUUAACGGCCGCAGUACUCUGACUGUGCAAAGGUAGCAUAAUAAAUUGGCUUUUAAUUGAAGUCGUGAAUGAAAGGUUUAAUGGAGAUAAGCUGUCUUUUAUUUAAUUAGUUUAAUUUACUUAAUAGGUGAAAAUACCUAUAAGGUUACAUAAGACGAGAAGACCCUUAGAAUUUAUAUAAAUAGGAAUAAACCUUUCAUAUUUGUUGGGGCAACAUUGUUGGUUUAACCAACAAAAUGUAUUUUCAUAAGACCAUUAUACUAAGUAAGAUUAAUUACCUAAGGGAUAACAGCAUAAUUUUUAAAAGAUUAUGACCUCGAUGUUGGACUAAGGCCUUUUUUCAUUAGACAUGAGAAAUGAUAGUUCUGUUCGAACAACAUAAACCCUACGUGAUCUGAGUUCAGA
rnacentral:rRNA from 1 species